CUCUUUAUAUUGUUUCCAAAUAAUAAAUCCAAAAAUAAAACGCUAUAACAUUGAAAUUUAUUGCGCUCAUUUUCCCGGGCCUCUAAAUAAAAUAUAUUAUGAGUGCAACAAAGCCCUAAACUCCCUUCCACCUCCCAUGGAUAAUCGUCUAAAAUUGAAAUCCUUCAUUUCUCUCAAAUGUCGACCUGCACUGCCGGCAAAACGCAAUCUUCGAUCCUAUCUCCACCACGAAUUUGUCAAUUUAUGUAUCGUCCCCUCUCAAAAUCGACCUCCUGGCACACGGUUCUAUCCAUUUUCAAUCAGUAUUGGGUAUCUCUUACCAUCUCUUUCUCUCUUUGUUCUAACCCCCCCCUUUUUAUGAGCAGCCAUAUUCCCCUUUUUUUAAGCAAAAGCGGCAGUGAAUCGGAUCUGAAAGAUAUACCAAAGAUUACUUGUGUGGGUGGAUAAAUGGCUAAUUUGUAUUUUGUUUUUUUUUAUUGAAUUUUUCUAAGUGUUGAUUCAGGGAAUACCCAUUUUCUGGUAUUUUAGUUUGGUCACUUUGAGUUUUUUUUUUUUUCUUCGUACUUAUGUUUUUGUUGAAUCUUGGGAUUACUCUUG
rnacentral:lncRNA from 1 species